CACUGAAAAAUGUUCCUGCAGGAGCUGAGGAAAUCACCCAGGUGCUAGAAUCUCUUGAAAAUCUGAUGCAUCAUUCAGAGGAAAACCCAAAUCAGAUUCGCCUAUUGGCACAGACACUUACAGAUGGAGGAGUCAUGGAUGAACUGAUCAAUGAGGAGCUUGAGACAUUUAAUUCUCGUUGGAGGGAACUACAUGAAGAGGUAUGAGGA